CGGCGGACGGGUGAGUAACGCGUGGGUAACCUGCCUCAUACAGGGGGAUAACAGUUGGAAACGGCUGCUAAUACCGCAUAAGCGCACAGUACCGCAUGGUACGGUGUGAAAAACUCCGGUGGUAUGAGAUGGACCCGCGUCUGAUUAGCUAGUUGGUGGGGUAACGGCCUACCAAGGCGACGAUCAAUAGCCGACCUGAGAGGGUGACCGGCCACAUUGGGACUGAGACACGGCCCAA
rnacentral:rRNA from 1 species